UCGCACUGCAGCCUGCGGGGGGAGAGGAACGAGGGUCAGCCGAGCCUGGCGCACCGACGGGGGCGUGCGGGACGGGGACCUGCCGCAGAGCCCCGCUGUGCGUAGCUGUCACCAGUCAGAUACACCAAUGAGCAACGUUUUGAUAGGAAAGCUGGGAAAGGUGAAUGAAGUCUUUUAGCAGACGCCAGCCCACGCUUCCUGUGCAAUGCACCUCCUGCUUCCCCAGCCAGCGCAGGCACGGCUGUGCUGGGUAAACAGGCGGCUCCUGAGGCGCCGGGCAAGAAAUCUCGACGGUUGACCGACGGAUCUCAUCCCUGCUCGACCACGGCACUGAUUCAUUAACAGCAGUGACAUCAUCUCCAAAACUUCCACUUAGCAGAAGGCGAUCCCCAUCCAAAACAAAUGCUUUCUGUUGUAUUAGACUUAUGGAUAAUACAGCAUGUUCCAGCUUU